GUAGAAGACUUUCUCAUCCAAAUAUUGUUAGAUUCUUGGCUGCUACCAAAAAAGAUCAGUAUAUACUCAUAGCAAAUGAGUAUGUCCAUGGAGCAAGUUUACACGUUGUACUUCACAGUGCAGACAGUCCAGUGAAGUUAGAAGCAGAAGAAAAAAAUUACGUUGCACUUGAUGUGGCAAUGGCUGUGGAAUACAUCCAUUCCAAGAAUGUAAUACACCAGGACCUGAAGCCUGCAAACAUCCUGAUUGAAGGCAGCAGCAAAAAGGCCUAUCUUACCGACUGGGGUUUAGCCAAUGUUCGCGACUCAGUUUCGCUAAGGCAGGGGAGCAAAAUAUCUGGCCUUUUAAGUGGACCUCUUGGUGGUACUGCUAUUUACACAGCUCCUGAAUGUCUGCUAACCUUUCAACCUUGUUCUGUACAUUCAGACAUAUGGUCCAUCGGCAUAACAUUUUUAGAGCUGUACACAAACACUGUACCAUGGUCUGUAAAGACCUGUAAAGAGCUGUGCCAGUUAAUGUCAACAGAGGCAGCUCCAAAUGCUUUAAACAAAUUUGAUUCAUUGUGCACACAAUUAAUAUGUACAUGUUUAAAAUAUACACCAUCGGAAAGAAUUUCGGCCUCAAACCUAGUUCUUCUGUUAAAAUCAUUGGACAACACUGAUUUAAAAAAAACAUUACGGAUACCAUUGGUAAUUACAAAAUGCAAUAUUUUAGAUGAUGACCUUUGUUUUAUUCAUCACCAAGAGGAAAGUAAAAUGUUUAGUUUUUCCUGUCAUUAAAAUGUAUUGUUACAUUAUAUACUGUAUACAGGAAAAAAGUGCAUACAAUUAUAUUGAUUAUGUUGUUGUUCUUGAUGUUAUGACUAUAGAAUUCUGAU